GACGAACGCUGGCGGCGUGCUUAACACAUGCAAGUCGAACGGAAAGGCCCUGCUUUUGUGGGGUGCUCGAGUGGCGAACGGGUGAGUAACACGUGAGUAACCUGCCCUUGACUUUGGGAUAACUUCAGGAAACUGGGGCUAAUACCGGAUAGGAGCUCCUGCUGCAUGGUGGGGGUUGGAAAGUUUCGGCGGUUGGGGAUGGACUCGCGGCUUAUCAGCUUGUUGGUGGGGUAGUGGCUUACCAAGGCUUUGACGGGUAGCCGGCCUGAGAGGGUGACCGGCCACAUUGGGACUGAGAUACGGCCCAGACUCCUACGGGAGGCAGCAGUGGGGAAUAUUGCACAAUGGGCGGAAGCCUGAUGCAGCAACGCCGCGUGCGGGAUGACGGCCUUCGGGUUGUAAACCGCUUUCGCCUGUGACGAAGCGUGAGUGACGGUAAUGGGUAAAGAAGCACCGGCUAACUACGUGCCAGCAGCCGCGGUGAUACGUAGGGUGCGAGCGUUGUCCGGAUUUAUUGGGCGUAAAGGGCUCGUAGGUGGUUGAUCGCGUCGGAAGUGUAAUCUUGGGGCUUAACCCUGAGCGUGCUUUCGAUACGGGUUGACUUGAGAAGGUAGGGGGAGAAUGGAAUUCCUGGUGGAGCGGUGGAAUGCGCAGAUAUCAGGAGGAACACCAGUGGCGAAGGCGGUUCUCUGGGCCUUUCCUGACGCUGAGGAGCGAAAGCGUGGGGAGCGAACAGGCUUAGAUACCCUGGUAGUCCACGCUGUAAACGGUGGGUACUAGGUGUGGGGUCCAUUCCACGGGUUCCGUGCCGUAGCUAACGCUUUAAGUACCCCGCCUGGGGAGUACGGCCGCAAGGCUAAAACUCAAAGGAAUUGACGGGGCCCCGCACAAGCGGCGGAGCAUGCGGAUUAAUUCGAUGCAACGCGUAGAACCUUACCUGGGUUUGACAUGGAUCGGGAGUGCUCAGAGAUGGGUGUGCCUCUUUUGGGGUCGGUUCACAGGUGGUGCAUGGCUGUCGUCAGCUCGUGUCGUGAGAUGUUGGGUUAAGUCCCGCAACGAGCGCAACCCUUGUUCACUGUUGCCAGCACGUUAUGGUGGGGACUCAGUGGAGACCGCCGGGGUCAACUCGGAGGAAGGUGGGGAUGACGUCAAGUCAUCAUGCCCCUUAUGUCCAGGGCUUCACGCAUGCUACAAUGGCUGGUACAGAGAGUGGCGAGCCUGUGAGGGUGAGCGAAUCUCGGAAAGCCGGUCUCAGUUCGGAUUGGGGUCUGCAACUCGACCUCAUGAAGUCGGAGUCGCUAGUAAUCGCAGAUCAGCAACGCUGCGGUGAAUACGUUCCCGGGGCU
rnacentral:rRNA from 1 species